CAUGCAGUCGAGCGGAACGACACUAACAAUCCUUCGGGUGCGUUAAUGGGCGUCGAGCGGCGGACGGGUGAGUAAUGCCUAGGAAAUUGCCUUGAUGUGGGGGAUAACCAUUGGAAACGAUGGCUAAUACCGCAUGAUGCCUACGGGCCAAAGAGGGGGACCUUCGGGCCUCUCGCGUCAAGAUAUGCCUAGGUGGGAUUAGCUAGUUGGUGAGGUAAUGGCUCACCAAGGCGACGAUCCCUAGCUGGUCUGAGAGGAUGAUCAGCCACACUGGAACUGAGACACGGUCCAGACUCCUACGGGAGGCAGCAGUGGGGAAUAUUGCACAAUGGGCGAAAGCCUGAUGCAGCCAUGCCGCGUGUAUGAAGAAGGCCUUCGGGUUGUAAAGUACUUUCAGUUGUGAGGAAGGGUGUGUAGUUAAUAGCUGCGCAUCUUGACGUUAGCAACAGAAGAAGCACCGGCUAACUCCGUGCCAGCAGCCGCGGUAAUACGGAGGGUGCGAGCGUUAAUCGGAAUUACUGGGCGUAAAGCGCAUGCAGGUGGUUCAUUAAGUCAGAUGUGAAAGCCCGGGGCUCAACCUCGGAACUGCAUUUGAAACUGGUGAACUAGAGU
rnacentral:rRNA from 1 species